rnacentral:rRNA from 1 species
CCCUUAGAUGUCCUGGGCUGCACGCGCGCUACACUGAUGUGUCCAGUAAGCACCUAACCUCUUCCGAAGGGAACGGGUAACCUUAGCAAAGCACAUCGUGAUGGGGAUAGAUUAUUGCAAUUAUUAGUCUUGAACGAGGAAUUCCUAGUAAGCACAAGUCAUCAGCUUGUGUUGAUUACGUCCCUGCCCUUUGUACACACCGCCCGUCGCUCCUACCGAUUGAAUGUUCCGGUGAAUACUUCGGACUGCGAGGUCUGCAGUUUCUGCGUUCCUUGCGGAAAGUUGAAUAAACCUUNANAUUUAGNGGAAGGAGAANUCGUANCG